GUCCCUGUAGCGCAAUGAAUAACGCGUUGGACCUAAUCCAAAGGUCGUCGGCUCGAAUCCUAUCUGGGAUG